UUAAAGGAAGUAAGACAGAGCACAUUGAUUACAAAUCAUUUUGUUUCUAUAGGACUCUCUUACAGAUACAUAUCUGCUUUCUAACACUAAGGAUCCAUUUCAUGUCUGUCUAUAUUAAAUUCAUUAUGGUCUUGACGUGCCACAAUUAUUAAUGCAGUAAUAGCUUUGUUGACUGUCAACAGGUACAAGCCAUCUCAUUAGUAGUUUCCACUGCCAUUCUCUCAGGCAGAGCUACACAAAUGAAAGUGAAGAGUGAAUUACUUCAAAAUGAUAUAUUACUGCUUCCUUACCACACACCAGGUCAUUGGGUUCUUGCGAUAGCCUUGAUGAAAAAAAAGGAAUUGUUAAUAAUUGACCCCU